UACGGAGGGUGCAAGCGUUAAUCGGAAUUACUGGGCGUAAAGCGCGCGUAGGCGGCUGGAUAAGUCGAUUGUGAAAGCCCCGGGCUCAACCUGGGAAUUGCAGUCGAGACUGUUCGGCUAGAGUGUGGGAGAGGGCAGUGGAAUUCCCGGUGUAGCGGUGAAAUGCGUAGAUAUCGGGAGGAACAUCAGUGGCGAAGGCGACUGCCUGGCCCAACACUGACGCUGAGGUGCGAAAGCGUGGGUAGCAAACAGA
rnacentral:rRNA from 1 species